GACGAACGCUGGCGGCGUGCUUAACACAUGCGAGUCGAACGGAAAGGCCCUGCGUUUGUGGGGUGCUCGAGUGGCGAACGGGUGAGUAACACGUGAGUAACCUGCCCUUGACUUUGGGAUAACUUCAGGAAACUGGGGCUAAUACCGGAUAGGAGCUCCUGCUGCAUGGUGGGGGUUGGAAAGUUUCGGCGGUUGGGGAUGGACGCGCGGCUUAUCAGCUUGUUGGUGGGGUAGUGGCUUACCAAGGCUUUGACGGGUAGCCGGCCUGAGAGGGUGACCGGCCACAUUGGGACUGAGAUACGGACCAGACUCCUACGGGAGGCAGCAGUGGGGAAUAUUGCACAAUGGGCGGAAGCCUGAUGCAGCAACGCCGCGUGCGGGAUGACGGCCUUCGGGUUGUAAACCGCUUUCGCCUGUGACGAAGCGUGAGUGACGGUAAUGGGUAAAGAAGCACCGGCUAACUACGUG
rnacentral:rRNA from 1 species